rnacentral:piRNA from 1 species
UCUUAUUUAAACUACUGUUGAUGUCCUAUU